rnacentral:lncRNA from 1 species
CAGGGCCCCGCGCUGGGUCAGCACUUUCCUCUGCGGGUGCUAAGGAGUGUUUCUCUGUUUCCCAUUCCCUCCCUUGUGCAGCCCUUUGCUUCUAGGAAAGCAGGAAGAAAUGGUCCGUGAAGUUUCAUUUGCCUUGAAAAAAACAGAAGCAUGUUCGGAGAAGUUCUAGGCCGUGGACCUGGCCAGGUGCCGCAGAGAAGGGUCCUGUGGCCAGACGGCCUGCCACCUGCAAGAAGCAGAGGAGGCCAGCAGGGAUAACAGUCCCAAGGCGGAGAGGACCCUGGAGCAAUUGGACCAUUUGUGCAGAAGCAAAAGCCUCAAAGGAAAAGAGAAAAAUCUCCUAAGUCUCUGAGGCCAGCCUUGGUAACAAGGAGCAUCUUCGCUGUUGGAAUCAUGGAUGAGUAAAUGGAGUUUAAGGACCCUAAAUUUUAUUUGGUUUGACCCCUUUACUUGCAAAUGGGCACCGUGAAUCCACAGAGGCUGUGACAGGCCUGCCACAUGUUCUCAGACGCUUCCCACGAUGCUCAUGGAACAACAAAAGGCUUCAUUGACCUGAAUCCAUCCGUACACUUAGAGUAACCUACACUUCCAUUUCCCUCCAAAAGGAAGUCUGAAAGAUACAGGAAACAACUGUCUGUGGUUAUGAUCCACUGAUAAUACCUGGCUCAGGGCCACAGCGGGAUGCAGGAGAGACAGAGAAGGGGAAGGAGCCACAGGGUGCAGUAAGGUCAAGAAGAACACCGGAAGAGGCCAGCCUGGUGGUGUAGUGGUUAAGUUCAAGCACUCGGCUUUAGCGGCCAAGGGUUUGCAGGUUUGGAUUCUGAAAGCAGACUUACACACUGCUCAUCAAGCCUUGCUGUGGCAGCAUCCCACAUACAAAAAAUAGAGGAAGAUUGGCAUAGAUGUUAGCUCAGCAACAAUCUUCCUCACCAAAAAAAAAAGAGAAUAACAACAAAGGAAGAAGGGAGGAGAAUGUGGUAUCAGAGGGUGAGAAGGAGAGAGAGAUGAGGAAGAGGCAAGGAGACCCCAAAAGCUUGGUCUAGAGAGCAAAGUAGGAAGACUGGGCGUUGGGGAGGGGCGUGAGACGUCGUGAGAAAACUUGGCCAAACUUGAAAUUUGACAUUUUCAAGAAGUGUCAGUCUGAAGGAUCAUAGAAAUCAAACCAGUAGCCUUGUGCUGAGAAGCCCAGCAAGAACAGUGUCUUUCAAAUAUUUGGAGAUUCUUCUUGUAACUGAAAUGAUUGGGAAUUUAUGCGACCAGCCCAAGUUGUCAUCCAUGGAACAAGGAUGAAUAGUCCAAGAAUCAGGUUCCAAGAACAAAGGAUGGAAGCCCCAGGAGAAUAGCAGCCUCAUCUGUCUGUCUCAUGUUCUCCCCCCAGGACUGUAACAGGGACUUAGUGGGCACUCCAUAAAUAGUUGAACAAAAUAAAUGA